ACUUGAGUAGUUUAAUUGUUAAAAUUUUGAUUUGUGGUGUCAAUGAUACAAGAAAAGUCUUGUCUCAGGUU
rnacentral:tRNA from 1 species